UUCCUAGAGGCUCAGAUGGUAAAGAAACUGCCUACAAUGCAGUAGAACCAGGUUCAAUUCCUGGAUGGGGAA
rnacentral:tRNA from 1 species